UCCGGUUUAUCACCGGCAGUCUCCACAGAGUCCUCGGCUUUACCCGUUAGUAACUGUGAACAAGGGUUGCGCUCGUUGCGGGACUUAACCCAACAUCUCACGGCACGAGCUGACGACAGCCAUGCAGCACCUGAGCACGCUGCCCUUUCGGGCUCAUCCCCCUUUCAGAGUUUUACUACGUGCAUGUCCAACCUGGGUAAGGUUCUUCGCGUUGCGUCGAAUUGAACCACAUGCUCCACCGCUUGUGCGGGCCCCCGUCAAUUCCUUUGAGUUUUAACCUUGCGGCCGUACUCCCCAGGCGGUCAACUUCACGCGUUAGCUUCGUUACCAAGGAAUUGCUUCCCCGACAACCAGUUGACAUAGUUUAGGGCGUGGACUAC
rnacentral:misc_RNA from 1 species